CCCAUUGUACCAAAAAUAAAUGGAAUUAAUGAAAAGUUAUGGUACCAUGGUGAUAUCAAUCGUGAUGACUCCAUAAAACUUUUAAAGUCCUGGAAUAAGGAGAGUGCUUUUCUUGUGCGCAAUACAAAUAAAGGGGAAGGCUAUUCUAUAUCAAUAUUUCACAAAGGCAAUGUAACUCAUUUGAGGAUAAAUUUAAAGGAUAAUUGCUUCUAUCUUGGGACAUCAGAGAAGCCAUUUAAAUCGGUUGAAGAUUUAAUCAAAUUCUACCAAUCAAACUUACUUUCACUUACAUCUGGUGCUGAAGUAUGUUUAACUACGACUCCCCCGCGUCUCAAAAAGUAAUUUUUGGGGUUUUUUUCAUAAGUUUAUUUUUUGUAA
rnacentral:lncRNA from 1 species